rnacentral:rRNA from 1 species
GUGUCAGCAGCCGCGGUAAUACGGAGGGUGCAAACGUUGCUCGGAAUCAUUGGGCGUAAAGCGCGUGUAGGCGGCUUGUUAAGUCGGGUGUGAAAGCCCUGGGCUCAACCCAGGAAGUGCGCCCGAAACUGGCGAGCUAGAGUACGGGAGAGGGUAGUGGAAUUCCCGGUGUAGAGGUGAAAUUCGUAGAUAUCGGGAGGAACACCAGUGGCGAAGGCGGCUACCUGGACCGAUACUGACGCUGAGACGCGAAAGCGUGGGUAGCAAACAGGAUUAGAUACCCUGGUAGUCCACGCCGUAAACGAUGAGUGCUAGGUGUUGCGGGUAUUGACCCCUGCAGCGCCGCAGCUAACGCAUUAAGCACUCCGCCUGGGGAGUACGGCCGCAAGGCUAAA